rnacentral:rRNA from 1 species
CCGCGGGCUGCUGGCACGUAGAGUUUGAUCCUGGCUCAGGACGAACGCUGGCGGCGUGCCUAAUACAUGCAAGUCGAGCGGACAGAAGGGAGCUUGCUCCCGGAUGUUAGCGGCGGACGGGUGAGUAACACGUGGGUAACCUGCCUGUAAGACUGGGAUAACUCCGGGAAACCGGAGCUAAUACCGGAUAGUUUCUUGAACCGCAUGGUUCAAGGAUGAAAGACGGUUUCGGCUGUCACUUACAGAUGGACCCGCGGCGCAUUAGCUAGUUGGUGGGGUAAUGGCUCACCAAGGCGACGAUGCGUAGCCGACCUGAGAGGGUGAUCGGCCACACUGGGACUGAGACACGGCCCAGACUCCUACGGGAGGCAGCAGUAGGGAAUCUUCCGCAAUGGACGAAAGUCUGACGGAGCAACGCCGCGUGAGUGAUGAAGGUUUUCGGAUCGUAAAGCUCUGUUGUUAGGGAAGAACAAGUGCGAGAGUAACUGCUCGCAACUGACAGACCAACGAGGAAGCA